GAUGAACGCUGGCGGCGUGCCUAAUACAUGCAAGUCGAGCGAACGGACGAGAAGCUUGCUUCUCUGAUGUUAGCGGCGGACGGGUGAGUAACACGUGGAUAACCUACCUAUAAGACUGGGAUAACUUCGGGAAACCGUAGCUAAUACCGGAUAAUAUUUUGAACCGCAUGGUUCAAAAGUGAAAGACGGUCUUGCUGUCACUUAUAGAUGGAUCCGCGCUGCAUUAGCUAGUUGGUAAGGUAACGGCUUACCAAGGCAACGAUGCAUAGCCGACCUGAGAGGGUAGUCGGCCACACGGGAACUGGGACACGGUCCAGACUCCAGCGGGAGGCAGCAGUAGGGAAUCUUCCGCAAUGGGCGAAAGCCUGACGGAGCAACGCCGCGUGAGUGAUGAAGGUCUUCGGAUCGUAAAACUCUGUUAUUAGGGAAGAACAUAUGUGUAAGUAACUGUGCACAUCUUGACGGUACCUAAUCAGAAAGCCACGGCUAACUACGUG
rnacentral:rRNA from 1 species